GAGUCGAACUAUUACCGCAGAACCGUCAAAUCGUGUGUUCCGCCACCUAACCCAUCUUCCACCUUUCUCCCUCUUUUUCGUCCAUCGUUCGUUCGAUUUUUUUGCGGCUUCGAUUGGAGCUCUAGGUGGGCGGUAAGGGAAGGCACAAGCUUCCGUAACAAUCAACUCGACCAAAUCGCUUGCUUCGCUUCUAAUAAAACUAUAAUCUUUGCCCUAUUGAAUUCGGGAGAGGAGAAAGUUCAUCAUCUUCCUUCGGCGUUCCCGUCUGAGCUUUUGAUUUCAGUCUAACUCUAAGGGACGUGAGCCACCUGCUUCUUGCUGGGGUGUUUUGCAUUGCAUCCAGUGAAAAAUGUCAAGCAUAGAGGAGGCUCUUUGUUUUGACAAUGUGCCAAGAUUGAGCAUUAUCAGUAGGCUUCAACAAUGCACCUCCACUGCCUGCAGACCGAGGGUUGAUGAGAAAGAAGUUGGUAAUUGCCUAACUGAAGCCAGAGAGUGUAGCUCAUCCAUCUAACAGUUGCAAUGAAGAUUAUGGCUGGAGAAGGCAAACGAGAGAUAAAUUUUCUAGAAAUUCCUUGGUUUGGUUAUCACACAAGGAUGGGAAUCAGGCAGUAUUCAGCAAGUGUUUUGGUGGAAUGCCAAGAUUUGUGAAAAUAGUUGAAGUUGGUCCUAGGAUGGUUUGCAAAAUGAAAACCGCAUAAUACCUGCAGCUGUAAAGGUUGAACUCAUAAAGAAACUGGCUUCAUCUGGUUUAUGCGUUGUUGAAGCCACAAGCUUUGUUUCUCCAAAAUGGGUGCCACAGCUAGCAGAUGCUAGGAUGUCAUGGAAGCAAUUCAUGAUGUUCAUGGUGUCAGUUUGUCUGUCCUGACAUCAAAUCUAGAAGUAAGUUCAAUAUUUAUGUCUGAAUCUCGGGUUGCAGGGUAGGAUCUCAUAAUCUGAGGAAGUGUUUAUAAUUACACAAGCAUUGUUCGGGGAUUUAAAGCAGCCAUUGCAGCUUGGGCAAAGGAAAUCGCAAUAUUUGUAUCAGCUUCUGAGUCCUUUUCCAAGUCCAACAUUAAUUGCAGCAUUGACCAGAGCCUUACUCGUUAUCGUGAAGUCAUUGCUGCUGCUAAAGAACUCAACUUACCUGUUUGUGGGUAUUUAUCCUGUGUUGUGGGAUGCCCCACAGAAGGACCAAUUCCUCCAGGAAAAUUAGCAAAUGUGGCAAAAGAACUCUAUGAUAUGGGCUGCUAUGAGAUCUCACUUGGUGAUACCAUUGGACUCGGUACUCUAGGAAGGUACCAUG